rnacentral:rRNA from 1 species
AUUGAACGCUGGCGGCAUGCUUUACACAUGCAAGUCGAACGGCAGCGCGGGCUUCGGCCUGGCGGCGAGUGGCGAACGGGUGAGUAAUACAUCGGAACGUGCCCAGUAGUGGGGGCUAGCUCGGCGAAAGCCGGAUUAAUACCGCAUACGACCUGAGGGUGAAAGCGGGGGAUCUUCGGACCUCGCGCUCUUGGAGCGGCCGAUGGCGGAUUAGCUAGUUGGUGGGGUAAAGGCCUACCAAGGCGACGAUCUGUAGCUGGUCUGAGAGGACGACCAGCCACACUGGGACUGAGACACGGCCCAGACUCCUACGGGAGGCAGCAGUGGGGAAUUUUGGACAAUGGGCGAAAGCCUGAUCCAGCAAUGCCGCGUGUGUGAUGAAGGCCUUCGGGUUGUAAAGCACUUUUGGCGGGAACGAAAAGGACUGUGCCAAUACCACGGUUCGAUGACGGUACCCGCAGAAUAAGCACCGGCUAACUACGUG